UACAGAGGGUGCGAGCGUUGUCCGGAAUCACUGGGCGUAAAGGGCGCGUAGGCGGCUCGGUAAGCGUGCGGUGAAAGCCCGGGGCUCAACCCCCGGGUCGGCCGUGCGAACUGCAGAGCUGGAGCACUGUAGAGGCAGGUGGAAUUCCGGGUGUAGCGGUGGAAUGCGUAGAGAUCCGGAAGAACACCGGUGGCGAAGGCGGCCUGCUGGGCAGUUGCUGACGCUGAGGCGCGACAGCGUGGGGGAGCAAACAGG
rnacentral:rRNA from 1 species